rnacentral:sRNA from 1 species
UCCGCCAUGGAUGGCGGGGGGAUUAAACAACAGCGAAUGUGCUUUAUAGCAAAUUCGCCAUCACUCAAUAUACACGGAUGUACAUUGAGUGAUGAAA